rnacentral:rRNA from 1 species
UACGUAGGCAGCGAGCGUUGUUCGGAGUUACUGGGCGUAAAGAGUGCGUAGGCGGUUGGCUAAGUUUGGUGUGAAAUCUCCCGGCUCAACUGGGGAGGGUGCGCCGAAAACUGGCUGGCUGGAGUGUGGGAGAGGCUAGCGGAAUUCCUGGUGUAGCGGUGAAAUGCGUAGAUAUCAGGAGGAACACCUGCGGUGUAGACGGCUGGCUGGACCACUACUGACGCUGAGGCACGAAAGCGUGGGGAGCAAACAGG